UAUCUCGAAAAUAAAAGAUCUAAAUUAGAUCGUUAGUUCUUGUAUCAUGAAGAUUAAAGAUUUAAGUUUAGGUAUUAUAUGUUUAUCGUUUUUAUUUAUAUCUAGUAACUUUAGAAAUAAAUUUAGUUUAGGUUUUUGAGGAGUUAUUGCUCUUUUUUAAGUCUUAUAUUUUAAGGGAUAAGCUUUAAAAUAAAAUUAAAAGAAAGAUAAUUUUAAAAUUUUUUAGUAGGCUUAGAAUUAGCCAUAAGAUAUUGUUAUAAAAUAAAAAAGUUAAUAUAAGAUUUCAUUUUCUUUAAAAAUUAUAGAGUUAAUUAAUAAAUUAUAAAUAUUUUGUAAAUAUGAUAAUAUGAGUAGAAAGAGGACAAAAAUUUUUUUUGUAUUAUAUUGUUAAAGAUUUAUAAUAAAAGAAUUCGGCAAAUAAGAUUUCCGAAUGUUUAACAAAAACAUUUCCUCCUAUUUACAGGAGGUAAGACCUGCUCACUGAAAAUUUUAAAGAGCCGCAGUAUUUUAACUGKGCUAAGGUAGCAUAAUCAUUAGUCUUUUAAUUGGGGACUGGAAUGAAUGGUUAAACGAGAAAUCAACUUUUUUUUGUUAUAUAAAUUGAAUUUAAUUUUUUAGUGAAAAAGCUAAAAUUUUUUAGAAAGACGAGAAGACCCUAUAGAGUUUAAUAUUCUUUAAAAUUUUUUUUAAAUAGAUUUAUACUUAAAAAAUUUUUAAAGAAUAUUUUGUUGGGGUGACAUUUAGAUAAGAAAAACUCUUUAUUUUAUAAACUUUUAUAAAAGAAUUAUUUGAUCCUUUAAAAAAAGAUUAAAAGAAAAAAUUACCUUAGGGAUAACAGCGUAAUCUUUUUUGAGAGUUCUCAUCGACAAAAAGGUUUGCGACCU
rnacentral:rRNA from 1 species